AGCCACCGCGGUAAUUCCAGCUCCAAUAGCGUAUAUUAAAGUUGUUGCAGUUAAAAAGCUCGUUAUGAUUGAAUUUCGGGGUUAGUAGGUUGGUCAUGCCUCUGGUAUGUACUGGUCUCACUGAUUCCUCCUUCCUGAUGAGCCGUAAUGCCAUUAAUUUGGUGUUGCGGGGAAUUUGGACUGUUACUUUGAAAAAAUUAGAGUGUUUAAAGCAAGCUAACGCUUGAAUACAUUAGCAUGGAAUAAUGAAAUAGGACGUUCGAUCCUAUUUUGUUGGUUUCUAGGAUUGACGUAAUGAUUAAUAGGGAUAGUUGGGGGCAUUAGUAUUCAAUUGUCAGAGGUGAAAUUCUUGGAUUUAUUGAAGACUAACUACUGCGAAAGCAUUGUGCCAAGGAUGUUUUCAUUAAUCAAGAACGAAAGUUAGGGGAUCGAAGACGAUCAGAUACCGUACGUAGUCUUAACCAUAAACUAUGCCGACUAGGGAUCGGAUGAUGUUAAUUUUUUAAUGACUCA
rnacentral:rRNA from 1 species